rnacentral:rRNA from 1 species
UUGGAGGGCAAGUCUGGUGCCAGCAGCCGCGGUAAUUCCAGCUCCAAUAGCGUAUAUUAAAGUUGUUGCAGUUAAAAAGCUCGUAGUUGAAUUUCGGGAUUAAUUUAUUGGUCGUGCUAUCGUACGUACUGGUAUUAUUGAUUCCUACCUUCUGACGAACCACGAUGUCAUUAAUUUGGUGUCAUGGGGAAUCAGGACUGUUACUUUGAAAAAAUUAGAGUGUUUAAAGCAGGCUCACGCUUGAAUACAUUAGCGUGGAAUACCGAAAUAGGACGUUUGAUUCUAUUUUGUUGGCUUCUAGGAUCGACGUAAUGAUUAAUAGGGAUAGUUGGGGGCAUUAGUAUUCAAUUGUCAGAGGUGAAAUUCUUGGAUUUAUUGAAGACUAACUACUGCGAAAGCAUUUGCCAAGGAUGUUUUCAUUAAUUAAGAACGAAAGUUAGGGGAUCGAAGACGAUCAGAUACCGUCGUAGUCUUAACCAUAAACUAUGCCGACUAGGGAUCGGAUGAUGUUAAUCUUUUAAUGACUCAUUCGGCGCCUUACGGGAAAC